UUGGAGGGCAAGUCUGGUGCCAGCAGCCGCGGUAAUUCCAGCUCCAAUAGCGUAUAUUAAAGUUGUUGCAGUUAAAAAGCUCGUAGUUGAAUUUCAGGGUUUGUCUAUCGGUCGGGCUUCACUGUCCGCACUGAUUUGAUGGAUCCUUACCUUCUGAAUAGCCAUCAUGCCAUUAAUUUGGUGCGCUGGGGAAGCAGAGCUAUUACCUUGAAAAAAUUAGAGUGCUUAAAGCAGGCCAGUGCUUGAAUAGAUUAGCAUGGAAUAAUAAAAUAGGACGGCAUGGUUCUAUUUUGUUGGUUUCUAGGAUCACCGUAAUGAUUAAUAGGGAUAGUUGGGGGCAUUAGUAUUCAAUUGUCAGAGGUGAAAUUCUUGGAUUUAUUGAAGACUAACUACUGCGAAGGCAUUUGCCAAGGAUGUUCUCAUUAAUCAAGAACGAAAGUUAGGGGAUCGAAGACGAUCAGAUACCGUCGUAGUCUUAACCACAAACUAUGCUGACUAGGGAUCGGACGAAGUUAAUUUUUAAAUGACUCGUUCGGCGCCUUACGGGAAAC
rnacentral:rRNA from 1 species